rnacentral:RNase_P_RNA from 1 species
CCAGCAGUUCGACCUGUCGUCCCGUUUAUACGGGGAGGAAAGUCGGGACAACACAGAGCGCCGUACUUCCUAACAGGAAGGGUGCCAACGAUACUUAGGUGCGUUGGCAUACAGCAAGUGCCACAGAGAAUGACUUCCUGCCGGGGUUUUGGUUUUACGGGAAGGGUCCACUGGCCUUUUCAUAUUUGGCUUUACCCAAAUUUUAAAAGGUGGGUAAACCAAUCCUGAUGAAUUAGGUGGGUAAACCCAAUCCAGUAGUAUUGGGUGGGUAAACCCGCCUACGCUGAAGCUCCGGCGGGUAAAGGUGAAAACGUGGGGUAAGAGCCCACGCAUUGUUAUGGUGACAUGGCAAUGGGGUAAACCUUACGGGUUGAAAGGCCAAAUAUACCGGGGAUAUCCGCAAUGUGGAUAUAAGGGCUGCUCGUCCGAUCCCGGGGGGUUGGCUGCUAGAGGGCAGUGGUGACACUGCUCCUAGAUAAAUGACAGGAUAGAACAGGAUCCCGCUUACGGAGCUGUUGGUUUU